AUUGAACGCUGGCGGAAUGCUUUACACAUGCAAGUCGAACGGCAGCAUAGGUGCUUGCACCUGAUGGCGAGUGGCGAACGGGUGAGUAAUACAUCGGAACGUGCCCAGUCGUGGGGGAUAACGUAGCGAAAGUUACGCUAAUACCGCAUACGAUCUAAGGAUGAAAGCGGGGGACCGUAAGGCCUCGCGCGAUUGGAGCGGCCGAUGUCAGAUUAGGUAGUUGGUGAGGUAAAGGCUCACCAAGCCGACGAUCUGUAGCUGGUCUGAGAGGACGACCAGCCACACUGGGACUGAGACACGGCCCAGACUCCUACGGGAGGCCGCAGUGGUGAAUUUUGGACAAUGGACGCAAGUCUGAUCCAGCCAUUCCGCGUGCAGGACGAAGGCCUUCGGGUUGUAAACUGCUUUUGUACGGAACGAAAAAGCUCUUACUAAUACUAGGAGUCCAUGACGGUACCGUAAGAAUAAGCACCGGCUAACUACGUGCCAGCCGCCGCAGUAA
rnacentral:rRNA from 1 species